rnacentral:rRNA from 1 species
UGGGGAAUUUUGGACAAUGGGCGAAAGCCUGAUCCAGCAAUGCCGCGUGUGUGAAGAAGGCCUUCGGGUUGUAAAGCACUUUUGUCCGGAAAGAAAUCCUUGGCUCUAAUACAGUCGGGGGAUGACGGUACCGGAAGAAUAAGCACCGGCUAACUACGUGCCAGCAGCCGCGGUAAUACGUAGGGUGCAAGCGUUAAUCGGAAUUACUGGGCGUAAAGCGUGCGCAGGCGGUUUGCUAAGACCGAUGUGAAAUCCCCGGGCUCAACCUGGGAACUGCAUUGGUGACUGGCAGGCUAGAGUAUGGCAGAGGGGGGUAGAAUUCCACGUGUAGCAGUGAAAUGCGUAGAGAUGUGGAGGAAUACCGAUGGCGAAGGCAGCCCCCUGGGCCAAUACUGACGCUCAUGCACGAAAGCGUGGGGAGCAAACAGGAUUAGAUACCCUGGUAGUCCACGCCCUAAAACGAUGUCAACUAGUUGUUGGGGGAUUCAUUUCCUUAGUAACGUAGCUAACGCGUGAAGUUGACCGCCUGGGGAGUACGGUCGC